GAUGAACGCUGGCGGCGUGCUUAACACAUGCAAGUCGAACGAAGCAUUUCCUUUUCUUCGGAAAAGGAAAUGACUGAGUGGCGGACGGGUGAGUAACGCGUGGGUAACCUGCCUCAUACAGGGGGAUAACAGCUGGAAACGGCUGCUAAUACCGCAUAAGCGCACAAUGCUGCAUGGCAUAGUGUGAAAAACUCUGGUAGUAUGAGAUGGACCCGCGUCUGAUUAGCUAGUUGGUAAGGUAAUGGCUUACCAAGGCGACGAUCAGUAGCCGACCUGAGAGGGUGACCGGCCACAUUGGGACUGAGACACGGCCAAACUCCUACGGGAGGCAGCAGUGGGGAGUAUUGCACAAUGGGCGAAAGCCUGAUGCAGCGACGCCGCGUGAGCGAAGAAGUAUUUCGGUAUGUAAAGCUCUAUCAGCAGGGAAGAAAAAAAUGACGGUACCUGACUAAGAAGCACCGGCUAAAUACGUGCCAGCAGCCGCCGUAA
rnacentral:rRNA from 1 species